rnacentral:sRNA from 1 species
GCCAGGUGCGGUGGCCCAGGCCUGUAAUCCCAGCUACUUGGGAGGCUGAGGCAGGAGGAUCACAAGUUCAAGAUCAGCCUGAGCAAUUUAGAGGGACCCUGUCUCAA